rnacentral:rRNA from 1 species
ACGAAGGGGGCGAGCGUUGUUCGGAUUUACUGGGCGUAAAGGGCGCGUAGGCGGCCGAUCAAGUCAGGCGUGAAAGCCCCGGGCUCAACCUGGGAAUUGCGCUUGGGACUGGUUGGCUUGAGUUCGGGAGAGGAGCGUGGAAUUCCCAGUGUAGAGGUGAAAUUCGUAGAUAUUGGGAAGAACACCGGUGGCGAAGGCGGCUAUCUGGCCCGUAAUUGACGCUGAGGCGCGAAAGCGUGGGGAGCAAACAGGA